rnacentral:rRNA from 1 species
ACUCAAAUGAAUAGACGGGGGCCCGCACAAGCAGCGGAGCGUGUGGUUUAAUUCGACGCAACGCGCAGAACCUUACCCAGAUUUGACUUGCACCUGCACGCCCGAGAAAUCGGGUCGCCUUCGAGGGUGGUGCACAGAUGCUGCAUGGCUGUCGUCAGCUCGUGUCGUGAGAUGUUGGGUUAAGUCCCGCAACGAGCGCAACCCCCGCGGCCAGUUACUUGUGUCUGGCCGGACAGCCCUUCGGGGAGGAAGGCGGGGAUGACGUCAAGUCCGCAUGGCUCUUACGUCUGGGGCGACACACACGCUACAAUGACGCCGACAGAGCGCAGCGACCUUGCAAGAGGAAGCGAAUCGCUAAACGGCGUCUCAGUGCAGAUCGGGGGCUGCAACUCGCCCCCGUGAAGGCGGAGUUGCUAGUAACCGCGUAUCAGCCACGGCGCGGUGAAUACGUACCCGGGCCUUGUACACACCGCCCGU